AUGGGCGCAAGCUUGAUGGAGCACACCGCGUGAGUGAAGAAGGGUUUCGGCUCGUAAAACUCUGUUGUUGGAGAAGAACGUGCGUAAGAGUAACUGUUUACGCAGUGACGGUAUCCAACCAGAAAGUCACGGCUAACUACGUGCCAGCAGCCGCGGUAAUACGUAGGUGGCAAGCGUUAUCCGGAUUUAUUGGGCGUAAAGCGAGCGCAGGCGGUUGCUUAGGUCUGAUGUGAAAGCCUUCGGCUUAACCGAAGAAGUGCAUCGGAAACCGGGCGACUUGAGUGCAGAAGAGGACAGUGGAACUCCAUGCGUAGCGGUGGAAUGCGUAGAUAUAUGGAAGAACACCAGUGGCGAAGGCGGCUGUCUGGUCUGCAACUGACGCUGAGGCUCGAAAGCAUGGGUAGCGAACAGGAUUAGAUACCCUGGUAGUCCAUGCCGUAAACGAUGAGUGCUACGUGUUGGAGGGUUUCCGCCCUUCAGUGCCGAAGCUAACGCAUUAAGCACUCCGCCUGGGGAGUACGACCGCAAGGUUGAAACUCAAAGGAAUUGACGGGGGCCCGCACAAGCGGUGGAGCAUGUGGUUUAAUUCGAAGCUACGCGAAGAACCUUACCAG
rnacentral:rRNA from 2 species